rnacentral:rRNA from 1 species
CAAGUCGAACGAUUAAGACUUCCUUCGGGAAGUGCAUAAAGUGGCGCACGGGUGAGUAACACGUAAGUAAUCUACCUUCGAGUGGGGAAUAACGUCCGGAAACGGACGCUAAUACCGCAUAAUGCAGCGGCAUCGUAAGAUGACAGUUGUUAAAGGAGCAAUUCGCUUGAAGAGGAGCUUGCGGCAGAUUAGCUAGUUGGUAAGGUAAUGGCUUACCAAGGCUACGAUCUGUAACCGGUCUAAGAGGACGGUCGGUCACACUGACACUGAAUAACGGGUCAGACUCCUACGGGAGGCAGCAGUCGGGAAUUUUGGGCAAUGGGCGAAAGCCUGACCCAGCAACGCCGCGUGAAGGAUGAAGUAUUUCGGUAUGUAAACUUCGAAAGAAUAGGAAGAAUUAAUGACGGUACUAUUUAUAAGGUCCGGCUAACUACGUGCCAGCAGCCGCGGUAAUACGUAGGGACCAAGCGUUGUUCGGAUUUACUGGGCGUAAAGGGCGCGUAGGCGGCAUGACAAGUCACUUGUGAAAUCUCCGGGCUUAACUCGGAACGGUCAAGUGAUACUGUCGCGCUAGAGUGCGGAAGGGGCAAUCAGAAUUCUUGGUGUAGCGGUGAAAUGCGUAGAUAUCAAGAGGAAUACCUGAGGUGAAGACGGGUUGCUAGGCCGACACUGACGCUGAAGCGCGAAAGCCAGGGGAGCAAACGGGAUUAGAUACCCCGGUAGUCCUGGCCCUAAACGAUGAAUACUUGGUGUCUGGAGUUUUUAGUGCUCCGGGUGCCGUCGCUAACGUUUUUAGUAUUCCGCCUGGGGAGUACGCUCGCAAGAGUGAAACUCAAAGGAAUUGACGGGGACCC